GGCGUGAUGACAGAAGGAUUUAAGCAGAGGUGAUCAACGGAGGGGGGCGGAGGGCGGGCUGUGAUCCACGCCAGAGUGUUAACCCCUGUGUGGUUCCCUCUCGCCUUGGAUCCCGUUCCAAGCGCUCUCUCGGGCUCCGGCAUCUCAGGUCUGUACCAAGCCGGGCCGAGGUCCCCACUGGAUAACCCGGACCCCUCAGAGGUGUCAGCCUGCCAGAGCUCCUUGCCGUCAUGCCGUCCGGAUUCCGCUCACCCUCCAACAGCCAGGUCCCUGUUACCUCCACCUAACCCGGGGCUCCAUCUCUUGGAGGACCCGAUGUGUCCGAUCCUCCUCAUUCCCCCUGGCUCGAGUCCGCUCACGUGCACGGUUGCCGAGGUCCCCACCGAAUAACCCGGACCCUGUCAGCCUGCUGCAGCUCUUUGCCAUCACGCCGUUCGGAUUCUGCUCAUCCUCCAACAGCCAGCUCCCUGUUACCUCAGCCUCCUAACCCGGGAGCUCCAUCUCUUGGUGGACCGGCUGUCUGCUCCUCUUCUUACCCCCCUGGCCGAGUCCCCUCACGCGCACAAAGACAGCAAACAGCUGAUCGCUCUCUUUCUCUCUCUCUCGCUAACUUUCAGAUUCUCUCCGCAGUUUGUGCAUACCUGGCCAGCGUCGGUGCCGGUU